rnacentral:rRNA from 1 species
UACAGAGGUCUCAAGCGUUUGUUCGGAUUCAUUGGGCGUAAAGGGUGCGUAGGCGGCGCGGUAAGUCGGGUGUGAAAUCUCGGGGCUUAACUCCGAAACUGCAUUCGAUACUGCCGUGCUUGAGGACUGGAGAGGAGACUGGAAUUUACGGUGUAGCGGUGAAAUGCGUAGAUAUCGUAAGGAAGACCAGUGGCGAAGGCGGGUCUCUGGACAGUUCCUGACGCUGGAGGCACGAAGGCCAGGGGGAGCAAAACAGGG